rnacentral:piRNA from 2 species
UGGUACUAUUCUGAUUGCUGACCUAGAUGU